rnacentral:lncRNA from 1 species
CCUUCCUUCUUUAACUCGGUGUCUGAGGGUUUUUUUCUGAGGCUCUUCAUGCUACAUUUCUUGGUUCUCUGACUGGGAAGUGAGGUGAUUGGCGGAUGGUUAAGGCAGCUCCUUAGGUGGCUUAAGCUUGCCCUGUGGAACAACCCUGAGGGGGACUCUGACCAGCCCGAGCAAUGUGGAUCCUGAGAGGACUCCCGGGUAGGCAUUUGCCCUGGUGGGAUGCCUCGCCAGAGCAGUGUGUGGCAGGCCCCCGUGGAGGAUCAACACAGUGGCUGAACACCAGGAAGGAACUGGCACUUGGAGUCCGGACAUCUAAAACGUGUGAUUCUCCAAGGGCAAAUGAAUUUUGACCAGGAAGACAGUGAAGAAAUUUCAUAAAAGUGAAAUACUAAUUGGAAGCUCCUAUCGGCAUUGGUUGAUCUGACAAGUUGUGUGUAUAGAAACUAGCCUAUAUGGAGACACGAAUGUCAAAAGAAGUUUUACCGAUGAUAGAAAUAUGAGAGGAUCAUUAUGUAUUCUUCAAGAAAAAGAAAUAUGGCAAAGGAUAGUAAAGGUAAUACUGCCAAAAAUAUCCAGAUUGUAUUGAAGAAAAUUGUGAAAAAAAGGACCAGAGUCAAAGUUAUUUUUCUAGGAGGAGAAGAACACAUUGCAGAACAGAAGAUGGCAAAUAAAUGCUUUUCCAUGAAAGAGGCACAGAUUGCUUCUACUUACCAAAGCAAGUCACAUGGCCAUGCCUCACCAAGGAGUUAAGAAAGCAGAGUCCUCCCAAGGAAGCAUGUGUCCAGGAAAGAACUGUAUAUUGUUGACUAGCAACAAUGUCUGACACCUUGACUUAAAC